GAAAUGAAAAAUAUACGCUAUUUAUAUGAGGGUAUUUUGGUCAAAAAAAUUUAAAUGUAGGGGUGUGGUUACAAUUGUAGGGGUACAAGGUAAAGUUUUCCAAAAAAACCUCAGCAAGCGUGAUCUUUCUCCUCUUUGCAAGAAGUUCUGGCGCGGCUUCACCGACGGUGCACGCGGCCGCCGAACUCCGCACAAGGUCGCUGCAUCCUCCUCGCCGACUCAUAAAAAAAUCACAUUCUGACUUGGAUUGAAAACUCCGUCAUCGUAUCCACAGAAUUGCCUUUGAUGUCCUCUUCACCGAGAUGGAAAUGCCUCGCCAUGAUGAGUUGCGACGAACACGAUUCUUUCUGCAGGCUCCUCGAAACACUUCUCCCACCAUGCUUUCGACCAACAGAAACGGAAAUGCUUGAGGUUCGCCUGUCCAGAUCUUGAGUUCGUCGUUAACGUCUCCACCGCAUUCGAGAUUGAAUGGCAGUGCAAUUCGAAUUGCCUAUGAGGGGCAUCGAACCACAAAUUGCGGUUGACUCAAGAAGAUAGCUUACCGUAUAGAGUUCCGGCGCGGCGAGUUUCUGGAAAAUCAACAGGCUCCGGACCAACUACCAGGACAGCUCCGAAUGAAGGUUUCCUUGAUCGCCCCCAUCGGCCGUGUCGUUGUAAUUCGCCACAAGACGCUCCUUCUAACCUUGGAUAUGCCAUGGACCUUGUUCUGCACUAAUAUCAUGGACGUUUGGGUGGAGACAGGGGAUGCCAACUCUUUAUUGUUUUGGUUUAUCUGAACUGUUGUAGUGUAGUGCAAUAGGAUGUAACAUGAAUUCAAAAGAUCACAUCCACUUGUUUUUUUUUAUUGUGUAUGAAUUGGAAAUGGUUGUAUCACUUGCGAGUUCGUUUCCUUCACUGUGCUUGGAAUUCUGUCAUUUUGGUUUGUAUUUCAUACGUCAUUUUCGGACUCA